rnacentral:tRNA from 1 species
GGAGGAUAUAGCUCAGUGGUAGAGUGCCUGCUUAGCAUGCAUGAGGUCCUGGGUUCAAUCCCCGGUACCUCCA